rnacentral:rRNA from 1 species
AUUGAACGCUGGCGGCAGGCCUAACACAUGCAAGUCGAACGGUAACAGGAAACAGCUUGCUGUUUCGCUGACGAGUGGCGGACGGGUGAGUAAUGUCUGGGAAACUGCCUGAUGGAGGGGGAUAACUACUGGAAACGGUAGCUAAUACCGCAUAACGUCGCAAGACCAAAGAGGGGGACCUUCGGGCCUCUUGCCAUCGGGUGUGCCCAGAUGGGAUUAGCUAGUAGGUGGGGUAACGGCUCACCUAGGCGACGAUCCCUAGCUGGUCUGAGAGGAUGACCAGCCACACUGGAACUGAGACACGGUCCAGACUCCUACGGGAGGCAGCAGUGGGGAAUAUUGCACAAUGGGCGCAAGCCUGAUGCAGCCAUGCCGCGUGUAUGAAGAAGGCCUUCGGGUUGUAAAGUACUUUCAGCGGGGAUGAAGGGAGUAAAGUUAAUACCUUUGCUCAUUGACGUUACCCGCAGAAGAAGCACCGGCUAACUCCGUG